GAUGAACGCUGGCGGCGUGCCUAAUACAUGCAAGUCGAGCGAACGGACGAGAAGCUUGCUUUUCUGAUGUUAGCGGCGGACGGGUGAGUAACACGUGGAUAACCUACCUAUAAGACUGGGAUAACUUCGGGAAACCGGAGCUAAUACCGGAUAAUAUUUUGAACCGCAUGGUUCAAAAGUGAAAGACGGUCUUGCUGUCACUUAUAGAUGGAUCCGCGCUGCAUUAGCUAGUUGGUAAGGUAACGGCUUACCAAGGCAACGAUGCAUAGCCGACCUGAGAGGGGGACAGCCACACUGGGAAUUGGAAACGGGCCCAACCCCCACGGGGGGCAAGAGGGGGGGAAUUUGCCGAAAGGGGGGAAGGCCGGACGGGCCAACCCGGGGGGGGGGAGGAAGGUUUCCGGUUGGAAAAACCUUUUUUUGGGGAAAAAAAACAUGGGUAAGAAACUGGGCACAUCUGGCGGGAACCAAAGAAAAAACCCCCGGUAAAUUCGUG
rnacentral:rRNA from 1 species